rnacentral:rRNA from 1 species
AGUGAACGCUGGCGGUAGGCCUAACACAUGCAAGUCGAACGGCAGCACAGUAAGAGCUUGUUCUUACGGGUGGCGAGUGGCGGACGGGUGAGGUAUACAUCGGACUCUACUAUUUCGUGGGGGAUAUCGUAGGGAAACUUACGAUAAUACCGCAUACGACCUACGGGAGAAAGCAGGGGCUCUUCGGCCCUUGCGCGAUUGAAUGAGCCGAUGUCGGAUUAGCUAGUUGGCGGGGUAAAGGCCCACCAAGGCGACGAUCCGUAGCUGGUCUGAGAGGAUGAUCAGCCACACUGGAACUGAGACACGGUCCAGACUCCUACGGGAGGCAGCAGUGGGGAAUAUUGGACAAUGGGCGCAAGCCUGAUGCAGCCAUACCGCGUGUAUGAAGAAGGCCUUCGGGUUGUAAAGUACUUUUAGUGGGGAAGAAGAGCAGAAAGUUAAUACCUCGAUGUACUGACGUUACCCAAAGAAGAAGCACCGGCUAACUUCGUG